CCAAAUACAAGUUGGUUAACUUAAUCGAAACACCAAACUGCUGUUUAAGGUUCUAACUAGACUCCAGUGGCGGCAAUCUUGGCUACUUUUAUAAAUGGAUGCAAAUGCCAGGGGAAGAUUUGUUGUUGAUGUUCUGUUCAUGGUACUUCUGGUGAUGAAGAAAUGGAUGACAUGAUGAGUGCUGGUUGUGUAUGCUGUAGGCUUUUGGUUUGAGGUUAUUGCACUGAAUUGCUGAGAGCUUCGCACAGGUGGAAUGGCUGAAUAAGUUGCAUCUAGAGACUCACAACAAGAGAAGAUGAUGGCGUGC